CGGUGCUGGCUCCCGAGUCGGUCUCUUUGGGCUGCAUUUCCAGGACGGUGCGGAACAGCUUCUCCGAGGUGACCGUCAGGAAGCCAAUCUCUGCGUUGGGGUGCAGGCCGUACAGGUACGUCCUGCAGAGCCGGCGGUCCCAGUCGUCAGUGAUGUGGCCGCCGUACAUGAUUUCCCCAAAGAGAAUCUAUCCAGUGGGUCUUCCCUCUGAUCCCACCAGAAUGGCCCUGCUUCUGAUUAUACUCCAGUAGCCUUGCCCACGCGUGCCCCUCAAGGUCUCUAGCACAGCCAGCUCCAGCAAGUAAGUUCCCCACCAGAAUCUCGGCUCCCCGGGCCGAGCGCGCCCCCCGGUGGCCGGGUCUGUCUACGCGUCCCACCCUCGGCCUCUGGUCUGUCUCCACUUCCAUGCCGGGCCCUCGGCCUUGGGAUCCUGCUCCUUUGGCCACCACAUGGCCAUGGCCGUGCUCCUUCUCCAAAGCCAGCUCGCGUGCAGUCCCGCCACAAAGCCAGGGGCCUGUUCCCCUGCCCCCGUCCCAGCGCGCAGUAGCCACUCCUGCACGGCGCUGUCCAGCAGUGGGAGGCACACAGGGCAGCCAUGUAUGU